CUACACAACUGAUCAUUCCCCCCUGUACCAAAGUACGAAGAUCCAAUUAUUUGUGUGCUACAGCUUUGCAUACGCAAAUAAAAUAAAAAUUACGAAAUGGCAGUAACAAUAAGUAGCGGUUUCAAACAUUUCGCCAAAGGUGAGAUCGUUCUUAACGGUAUCGAUCUGAAUGUUGGCAUUGGGAAAAUUUAUGGAUUGUUGGGUGCCAGUGGAUGUGG